rnacentral:rRNA from 1 species
GUUAUAAGACGAGUCGGGAAAGUUUUUUCGCUAAGAGAUCAGUCUAUGUCCUAUCAGCUAGUUGGUGAGGUAAUGGCUCACCAAGGCUAUGACGGGUAUCUGGUUUGAGAGGAUGAUCAGACACACUGGAACUGAGACACGGUCCAGACUCCUACGGGAGGCAGCAGUGAGGAAUAUUGCACAAUGGAGGAAACUCUGAUGCAGCAACGCCGCGUGGAGGAUGACGCAUUUCGGUGUGUAAACUCCUUUUAAGAGGGAAGAUAAUGACGGUACCUCUUGAAUAAGCACCGGCUAACUCCGUGCCAGCAGCCGCGGUAAUACGGAGGGUGCAAGCGUUACUCGGAAUCACUGGGCGUAGAGGGUGCGUAGGCUGGCUUCUAAGUCAGAUGUGAAAUCCAAUGGCUUAACCAUUGAACUGCAUUUGAAACUGGGAGCCUAGAGUUCAGAAGGGGCAGAUGGAAUUAGUGGUGUAGGGGUAAAAUCCGUAGAUAUCACUAGGAAUAUCAAAAGCGA